UCACACCUUACGGUGGCAGUCUCGCUAGAGUCCCCAACUUUAUUUGAUGGUAACUAACGACAAGGGUUGCGCUCGUUAUGGCACUUAAGCCGACACCUCACGGCACGAGCUGACGACAACCAUGCAGCACCUCGAUACAGUCUAUUGCUAGCUAUGAUAUCUCUACCAUAUUACUGCACCGUUCGAGCCCGGGUAAGGUUCCUCGCGUAUCAUCGAAUUAAACCACAUGUUCCUCCGCUUGUGCGGGCCCCCGUCAAUUCCUUUGAGUUUCAACCUUGCGGUCGUACUCCCCAGGUGGAUAACUUAUCGCUUUCGCUUGGCCACCGACAUUGUAUCGCCGACAGCUAGUUAUCAUCGUUUACAGUGUGGACUAC
rnacentral:misc_RNA from 1 species